GACGAACCGUGCGAACGUUGUUCGGAAUCACUGGGCAUAAAGGGCGCGUAGGCGGGCCGUAAAGUCAGGGGUGAAAUCCUCCAGCUCAACUGGAGAACUGCCUUUGAUACUGACGGCCUCGAGUGGGGUAGGGGCGUGCGGAACUGAUGGUGGAGCGGUGAAAUGUGUUGAUAUCAUCAGGAACUCCGGUGGCGAAAGCGGCACGCUGGACCUUUACUGACGCUGAGGCGCGAAAGCCAGGGGAGCAAACGGG
rnacentral:rRNA from 1 species